CACCCAGGGCCCCGUUUCUCCCCCCCCACCCCCCCACCUCUCCCGAGAGCGCAGAGACAGGGCAGGCUUGUGGCGGGCAGGGCCGGGCGGAGGGCGCAGGCCUUGAGUAAUAAUGGGGGUGCUUGUUCCCUCGCCCGGCUUGACAUCGCUCUUUCUCCCUCCGGAUUUAAAUGGCUCCUCAGCCCGCGCGGCCCUGCCUGGCCUGGAUCGGGGAGGUACACGCCUCCCCGGGAAGCAGAGGCGAGAGACAGCCGCGGCUCGGCGGGCGCUCCUGGCGCGCAGCAUCUGCAGCUGGUAUUUUUCCACGGGCCCGGCCCGCGCCGGGGCCUAGCGUCUCCCGGCCGGCCGGAGCCCGAGAGAGGGUUAACAGGCAGGAAGCUGAAGGCAUCGCAGACUCCGACGGAAGUCAGAUUUUUGUUUAACUGACUGGUUUAGCAGGCCUCGGCGUGGGGGAGGGCGCCGGGAAGGGAAGUCUAGCUUUGGGCCUGUGGCCUGCUAGGAGCGCCUGGGGCUGGCCUUGGGGAUGGCUCUUGCUCGCCAGCGCCUCACAAAGAUAAUCGCUCAGGAAGUGUCUCCGCCAAUCCCGGGCGGCCUUACAGUCGGAUUCGCCGCGCCGGCCAAUCGGGGAUGAGCUCUUAUUAGGCGGCCAGAUCAUCAAGCCGAAGUGCCAAACCCUUUUUCUGUGAGAACUAGGAGCCUGUCCUCCAUGUUUUAUAAGUAUUGACAUUACACAGUGUUAACAAUGCAUCCACAGAGCUUGGCUGAAGAGGAAAUAAAAACAGAACAGGAGGUGGGAGAGGGCAUGGACAUCUCCACUCGCUCCAAAG